CCGGUCCUGUCCGUGGUUCACUCUCUGAAAGGCCUAGGGUUUGGGUGAUGGCACGCCAUUGCACAUGGGACGCAAGCCGCAGGUUCCAUUUCAGAAGUAAUGGCUGGAUCCCUGGAAGCAGAUGGACUCGGUGUGGUUAGAGGGCAGAGGUAGAUGAUGCUGCGUAUUGAGCCCUCCUCAGCCCACUUUGAUUGAGGUGUUGCGCGGUGAGGAAGGGCCUUCGUGACCAGUCUGCAUGGGGGAGGCUGAACCAUAGUUUCUGGGCCUUCAAGGGGUGUUGCUGCAGCCACGGGGGCAGCCCUCCUGCGCCUGGACUUCUGCCUGCGAGCAGAGGAGCUUCCACACACAGCUCGUCAGAGCAUCCGUGCUUCUGCGCUAAGUGGCAGAUUCCAGGACGGCUCCAGGGGGCAUCAUCGAAAGGCGUGGCACAUCAGGGCCUUCAGGAUGGCUGCGUCCUGGUUAUUGCCCUGUGGUGCCAGAGAGAACCACACAGCCUGCUGCUGCUCCUGCCUUUAAUUUCCCAAAGAGCCAUCAAAAGACCUUGGACUUUGUUCUGCAAGAGGAGCUAGCAAAAUGGAGUGACUGUGGUCACCCUGGAAGCCUUUGACAGCUGGGGAGGCCCUGCUGAGCUUAGAAAACCAUCUGAUAGAUUUCCUGAGUAAGGAUUGGGCUUUGUAUUUUGAAGCACAAAUAAACUUGAUAAAAUUAAA
rnacentral:lncRNA from 1 species